GGAGGCGCUACAAGCGCUGGUGACGGGCGUGCUCAACAAGAUACAGUUCCAGCACAACAAGGCGCAGCUGCAACAUCUUGACAACGAAGUGUGUGAUGACGAUGGUGAAACUGAAUGGCACACAUUUCUCAAGCAUUGUAUUGAAUGCAUAGCUCGCGUGGCGGAUUUAGCUCCAUUGGAUGUUUUUACGUCGGUGUUGGAGCGGUGGCAGUGUCUAGCGGGAGUCUACGCUCGAGCGGCGACGCGUUCCGGCGGCGCAGC
rnacentral:lncRNA from 1 species